rnacentral:rRNA from 1 species
GGAUCGUAGGCUGCAACCCGCCUGCGUGAAGUUGGAAUUGCUAGUAAUCGCGGAUCAGCAUGCCGCGGUGAAUACGUUCCCGGGCCUUGUACACACCGCCCGUCACACCAUGGAAGUCGGUAAUGCCCGAAGUCAGUAGCCUAACCGCAAGGAGGGCGCUGCCGAAGGCAGGAUUGAUGACUGGGGUGAAGUCGUAACAAGGUAUC